GUGUUUGCUUUGGCAGUGCAUAUUCUAAACUUGGAAUGGUACAGAAGAGAGUAGCAUGGCCCCUGCAUGAUGAUGACACACAGAUUCAUGAAGCAUCAAAAAAUUGU
ensembl:snRNA LOC120094864 U6 spliceosomal RNA